CUACUACCCGCGGCUGCGUUUCUCUGUGUUCUGUCCUGACGCCCCCCUCGGUGGGCGUGCUACUGCUUGAUUGCUUCGUCUUCCUUGGACUUCACCGAUUAAUUUUAAAACGAGAUCCGAUUCGUCGCGCAUCUAAAAUAACAAGUCUAGAACGAGGUAUACAGUAGUACCCAGCACGAGUGGUUGGCUGGUGUGAUGAGUAAUCCGUAGUUGUUAAUUUUGUUGUUGUUUUAGGCAGUACUGAUACGUAGGGUUUGACCGCUUAAUUUACUACCUCUGCAUCUAGGGUUUAUUUAUUGAGAUUUUGGCUCUAUUCGGGGAUUCGAGCUUAAUGCGAACUGCGAAGGGGAGGGGGGGCAGGCGGCGAACUGGGGCGCAAUCAAUUCGAGGCGAGACAAUAUUUGCCCUCUUUGGGCAUGCCAUGGACGUAGAGUGCCUUUGUCGUGUUUGGUUUGGUUGCUUGUGGCAAGAGAAGGAUGGGCAGUGCGUGGUCUUGCCAGGCAUGGAAGCAUCGUCGUGUCUCCGUUCUCGCUAGGUGGACACGCACACGAAGGCUUGUGUCAGGCAUUUUCCCAUGGGCUUGCGCAAAGGUGGUGUUAACGGGCACCACCAUGUGCUAGAUUUCGUGUUUUAUAGGGGUAGAAGAUUUUUCCGACGGGGGCUCCGCUUUUAAGGAGCAGAUUUCUGAAGGUAUUCAGAUGACGGAUUCUUCUUUAAACUAGUCAAAGGCGCUUUAGAGCAACUCCAAUCGGUACCCCUAAAACCCCUCCAACCCAGUUCAUCCUCCAAUUCUAAAAUUUAGCCGGCGCGGUCCAAGAUUUUAGCCGGCGUCUCAGGACGCACCCAACUCUACGGAGGGGGGGAUCGGGGGCGCCGGCUGAAACCAAAAGACAACGCGGGCCACACCUGUCGGCGAGAUAAUACAAAAUUCCUUGCUAAUUUUUGCCGGCUUCCCCUUUUCCCUCCACUUCCCCCAGCCUAGGCGGCCAGUCCCGCCAUUUUCCCAUUCUCGCCGCUGACACCACCUCAAAGCGUCUCGCCGACACCACCACCGCCCCAAAAAAACCAUGCCGCCGAAGAGGUAUGCAGCGCCUCAUUCCACGUUGGCCGGUGACGCAGCGGCGGAGAAACCCAAGGAGAAGGAGCGGCCACCUGGGAUGAGCAAUGCCGACUGGGUGGCGGAUUGUACCCGCCGUGAACGGGAGAGGAAGGCCAAGGAGAGAAACGCCGACCUGGUGGUGGAAGCCGAGGCCCCAAAUGGACCUCCAAGGAAGACGAGUGCCUCGCCGAAGCUUGGAAGGUCGUGAGCAUGGAUCCCUUCACCGGCGCGAAUCAAUCUGGCGACACCUAUUAGAGGCAUGUGAAGACGACGUAUGAUGAGCGCCGGGUCAUCGAUCGGGAGUUCGCGUCGGUGACCCAUGAUCGCAACGAGUCCGGCUUGUCGCACCGAUGGCAAAUGAUCCAACAAGCGUGCAACAAGUGGCAUGGCAUUCAAGAAGAGGUGCGCCGGCAACCCGCAAGCGGCAGCAGCGCCCACGAUCAGAUGGUUGCCAUGUUCCCCGCCUUCCGAGAGGACAACGACAGCGCUGAUUUCAAGUUCAUCCACGUCUUCGCAAGAAUUGAGACGUGCGACAAGUGGACGGAGACGCGGAAUGGCUUCACCAAGUUCGGCACCUACGACUCGAAAGCCGCUCCUCUGGCGGCAGCAGAAGGCCGGCCCAUCGGCCACGAAGCGCCUGUACACAUGCAUUGAGAAGUGCAUGUCCGCCGCCGCCGCACAAGCUGUGAAGAGGGACGAGCUCGCCGCCAAGAGGGAGGCGGUCGCGGCGUCACGGUGGGCGACGGUGAUCAAGAAGCAAGAUGACAAGCUCGAGAUCCUCUAGGCGAAUGUCGCGGCGAAGAAGAGGCGGGAGGACUUGUUGAUCUUGACAUGCGACACCACCGGCAUGGGCGUUGAGGUGAAGGCGUGGUACGACGGCCAAUGCAGGCUCAUUUUGGCCGAAGCGAGAGCGCCGGCGUCGGCGCCUGCCACAAUAGCAACGGCCACCUCUACUCCAUCGGUGCCCUCACCGCCCGAAACAGCAACUCCGGCCACUUCUACACCACCGGCGGGCUCAGAAGUGCCAUCAGCGCCGGCGGAUGAUGAAGGGGCCGAGUGAUUUCACUUUUACUUAAGUUUGAUGUUAUUUUGAUCGCCGAAACUUGUGAUGAACUUGGGUGAUUUGGGCCAGCAUGUGAAAUGGCGGCAAAACUUUGUUUGAAUUGUA